rnacentral:rRNA from 1 species
GACGAACGCUGGCGGCGUGCUUAACACAUGCAAGUCGAACGGAAAGGCCCUGCUUUUGUGGGGUGCUCGAGUGGCGAACGGGUGAGUAACACGUGAGUAACCUGCCCUUGACUUUGGGAUAACUUCAGGAAACUGGGGCUAAUACCGGAUAGGAUCUCCUGCUGCAUGGUGGGGGUUGGAUAUUUUAGGCGGUUGGGGAUGGACUCGCGGCUUAUCAGCUUGUUGGUGGGGUAGUGGCUUACCAAGGCUUUGACGGGUAGCCGGCCUGAGAGGGUGACCGGCCACAUUGGGACUGAGAUACGGCCCAGACUCCUACGGGAGGCAGCAGUGGGGAAUAUUGCACAAUGGGCGGAAGCCUGAUGCAGCAACGCCGCGUGCGGGAUGACGGCCUUCGGGUUGUAAACCGCUUUCGCCUGUGACGAAGCGUGAGUGACGGUAAUGGGUAAAGAAGCACCGGCUAACUACGUG